GAUUUUAAUUGUAACUAACGGAAUUUGGUGACAAGCUAUUAUAGACAGACACAUUAGUUGUUGUUGUUGUAAACGACAUCUCCUCCACUUGUGUUUAUUUUAUUGCAAUGGCAGGAAUUUGCUUUCCCCCGUCGACCGAACCUUCUCAUUCUUUGGACUCGCAUACAUCGGACAUCAACGGACUAACGUUUUCUAAACAUGUUAUGGCCAGCUGUGCAGGCGACAAAACCGUUCGUUUGUGGUCGUUUCCAGGAUUCGCCGAAAUGAUUCCUCUUUCGCCUCUCUCGGGACAUAGUUUGUACGUGAACUCCUGUGCGUUUAAUCCGGCCGGGACGUUGUUGGCAUCUUGUUCCACGGACGGUAAACUAAUACUUUGGAAUCUAAAUACAGGACAGCAAGAAGCUGUCCUCGAACACCCGUCCAAAGGUGGUAUACGUGUGUGUAAGUUUUCUCCGAACGGUUUUUACCUUGUAUCCGGAAGUGACGAUGAGACCUUGUGUAUUUGGGAGUCCACUUCUUUAGAUUUGAUAAGGUGCCUGCAAGGACACACGACGUUUGUGGUGACUUGUGCCUUCAGUCCUGAUAGUAAAUUGCUGGUGUCUGGCUGCAAUACAGGAAAGCUUCGUGUUUGGGAUAUGUUUCAAAAUCUUGGUAGAGGCUUGCUUAAGGACUUUGAAGCACAUGAUCUCGAUAUGAUGGGAUGCGAUUUUUGGAGUAAUAUAUCUACAGAAAAUAAUCAUACCAAAUAUUUAUUGGCGACCUGUGGCCAAGACGCAUUACUAAAACUUUGGGAAAUUGUGUCAGCUGAUAUGACAAGUGUACAAGUUAACAAUAAAUUUGUCCUUACUGGACACAAAGCACCUGUCUCUGUUUGUUGUUUUGCUCAUCAUAAAAACCUGCUGGCUUCGGGAUCCUUUGAUAAAACUAUAAGACUUUGGGACCCUUCGGAAGGGCUGUGUAUUCAAAUACUUACCAGUCACACAAGGUAUGUGACAUGCUGUGCUUUUUCUUUGGAUGACACUCACCUAGCAUCUGGAUCCAAUGAUAAGACAAUUAAAGUGUGGAUCAUGGGAGGCAACGAACCUUCUCCAGAUGUCAGUAAUGUCAGUAGCGCAGCCUCUCAGACAUUUCCUUUCCCAACAAAAAUUUCUGUCAAUUCUGCAAACCUAGAGCAGCAGAAACCAGUUUGCAAAUGGUCUGUCGAUGAUGUGUGUAACUGGCUUGAAAAGUCUGGAUUAAACGAGAUUACUGAAAUAUUCAGAAAACAUGCCAUUGAUGGGCAUGAACUGUUAAUGCUGUCAGAUGAUGUCAUUGAGAAACAACUGGGAAUAGAGGCAUAUGGAAGCAGAAGUAAAAUUAUUCGUGCAAGGGACCAACUUACUAAACAAGUGUCUACAACUUCUCUGAUGUCUCUAAAAGAUUCACCAGAUGAAUUUCUGUGUCCAAUAACCAGAGAAAUUAUGAGAGAUCCAGUGAUUGCUUCAGAUGGCUACACUUAUGAGAGGACAGCAAUUGAGUCCUGGAUCAAAUCUGGCAGUAUACGCAGUCCAAUGACCAAUAUCAUUCUUCCUAGUCAACAGCUUAUUCCUAAUUUAACCGUGAAAAUGUUAAUCCAGAAUCAUGCCACAACGUAAGGCCAUGUAUGUGAGCAUGUGUGUGUGUGUGUGCGUGUGUGCAAGAGAAAGAGAGAGAGGGCAUAGUUGAAUGGUGUUGAAGUUCAUUUCAGUCAAGAGAUUCUUGGGUCAAUCCCACAGUGUAGCACCUUGGGCAAGUGUCAUUUGUUGUAGCUUUUGGUUGACCCAAGCCUUGUGAAUUAAAUUGACUUGACAGAAACUGUGAUACGCUAUCAAACAGACUGCAUUUGUAAAUUGAACUGCACACAAUAUCAUGCUGAUUCUGCCUGUAGAUUUUUUUGAAGAAGUGUACAAGGGUUUGUGGAAUAAACAAGUGGAAUGCUGAUGAUUCAAACUGACAAGGGAUCCAUUGCUUUGUCUGUGUAUGGGGCAGGUGGGUUAUCAAGUAACUUAGUGUCAUUGCAAGUUGGUGAAUGCCUUUAAAGUUUUAGCUUCUGUACCAGUCAUAUCACAAUGUUAAAUAUGUAUGCUUGCUUGUGUAACAUCAACGACCUUACCAACACUCAUUAGUGUACUUGCAGUACUUAUGUGUGCUUAGUGCCUGUUGCUUUGGUGUUCCUAUAGGGAGUAACUAUAGCAACACAAAUACUAACCCCAUACAGUCACAAUAAUUAUGUUCUGAACAUCAAACAAAAUUUUUAAUAAAACCGUGUAUGUUGUG
rnacentral:misc_RNA from 1 species